rnacentral:rRNA from 1 species
AGAGUUUGAUCCUGGCUCAGGACGAACGCUGGCGGCGUGCCUAACACAUGCAAGUCGAAGGAAAGUAGCAAUAUGAGUACUUGGCGCAAGGGUGCGUAAUGUAUAGGUAAUCUGCCCUUCAGUUUGGCAUAACUCCGUGAAAACGGAGAUAAUACCAGAUGUUGCGAGGACUCUGCAUAGAGAUCUCGUGAAAGAUUUAUCGCUGAAGGAUGAGCCUGUAUCCCAUUAGCUAGUUGGAGGGGUAAUAGCCCACCAAGGCGACGAUGGGUAGCUGGUCUGAGAGGAUGAUCAGCCACACUGGAACUGAGACACGGUCCAGACUCCUACGGGAGGCAGCAGUGAGGAAUAUUGCUCAAUGGGCGAAAGCCUGAAGCAGCAACGCCGCGUGGGCGAAGAAGGUCUUCGGAUUGUAAAGCCCUUUUGCAGGGGACGAACGGCUCUUAUGGGGCUCUGACGGUACUCUGCGAAUAAGACACGGCUAACUCUGUGCCAGCAGCCGCGGUAAUAC